GGGCCUGUGGCGUAGUUGGUAGCGCGCCUCCAUGGCAUGGAGGAGGUCAGGGGUUCGAAUCCCCUCAGGUCCACCA
rnacentral:tRNA from 1 species